AGCAGCGUAGCUCAAAGGUAGAGCACCUGGCUCAUAACCAGGAGAGUGCGGGUUCGAGUCCCGCCGCUGCGA
rnacentral:tRNA from 3 species